GACGAACGCUGGCGGCGUGCUUAACACAUGCAAGUCGAACGGAAAGGCCCUGCUUUUGUGGGGUGCUCGAGUGGCGAACGGGUGAGUAACACGUGAGUAACCUGCCCUUGACUUUGGGAUAACUCCAGGAAACUGGGGCUAAUACCGGAUAGGAGCUCCUGCUGCAUGGUGGGGGUUGGAAAGUUUCGGCGGUUGGGGAUGGACUCGCGGCUUAUCAGCUUGUUGGUGGGGUAGUGGCUUACCAAGGCUUUGACGGGUAGCCGGCCUGAGAGGGUGACCGGCCACAUUGGGACUGAGAUACGGCCCAGACUCCUACGGGAGGCAGCAGUGGGGAAUAUUGCGCAAUGGGCGGAAGCCUGAUGCAGCAACGCCGCGUGCGGGAUGACGGCCUUCGGGUUGUAAACCGCUUUCGCCUGUGACGAAGCGUGAGUGACGGUAAUGGGUAAAGAAGCACCGGCUAACUACGUG
rnacentral:rRNA from 1 species